rnacentral:rRNA from 1 species
GUACGAAGGGGGCUAGCGUUGCUCGGAAUCACUGGGCGUAAAGCGCACGUAGGCGGAUUGCUAAGUCAGGGGUGAAAUCCUGGAGCUCAACUCCAGAACUGCCUUUGAUACUGGCGACCUUGAGUCCGGGAGAGGUGAGUGGAACUGCGAGUGUAGAGGUGAAAUUCGUAGAUAUUCGCAAGAACACCAGUGGCGAAGGCGGCUCACUGGCCCGUAACUGACGCUGAGGCACGAAAGCGUGGGGAGCAAACAGG